UGGACAUCUUUAAAAGUCCCCUUGCUU
rnacentral:piRNA from 1 species